AGCGUUAUACACGAAGGAGGAAAAGCAACAAAGAGCUUGAAGACUUUCAUGGCUCCCAGGCCCUGGAUGGAGGCAGGCGGCCUCAGAAGGACAGAACCAAGGAGAUGCCUGUGGCUGCAGAGCCCAGACUUGUCUUGGAAAAGAUGGAGAAGAGCCAGUCAACUUGGCUUCCUUGCUUCUGCUCAUCCCCAUCAGCAGAGAGAAAUAAUGACUCCCGAAACAUUUCAGAAUCAAAAA